GUGCCAGCCGCCGCGGUAAUACGGAGGGUGCAAGCGUUAAUCGGAAUUACUGGGCGUAAAGCGCACGCAGGUGGCUGAGUCAGUCGAUUGUGAAAGCCCUGGGCUUAACCUGGGAAUUGCAGUCGAUACUACUCAGCUAGAGUAUGGGAGAGGGUAGUGGAAUUCCCGGUGUAGCGGUGAAAUGCGUAGAUAUCGGGAGGAACAUCAGUGGCGAAGGCGGCUACCUGGCCCAAUACUGACACUCAGGUGCGACAGCGUGGGGAGCAAACAGGAGGAUAUACCAGCGGAUUAC
rnacentral:rRNA from 1 species